rnacentral:lncRNA from 1 species
UGGGUAAAGAUGCAAGUGUCCAGUUUGGUCAGUAUUUAGAAGAUGAGAAUAAUUGAAGGUCAGACUUGACCUUUUCUUCAAUGCUUCCCCAAAUUCCAAAUUAUUUUCUGCCUGAGGGAAGGAAAAGCAUUGCCUCCUGCCAGAGACAGCCAAGAUGCUGCAGGAGCAACAGCUGGCCAGAAGUGAUUUUCUGUGAUUUUCCCUUCCUGUGGAGCAUGCCAGUCAUAGAAAUGGAUCAUUAUGUUUCUAG